rfam:Rattus norvegicus chromosome 5, whole genome shotgun sequence.
GGGGAUUUAGCUCAGUGGUAGAGUGCUCGCCUACCAAGCGCAAGGCCCUGGGUUCGGUCCCCAGCUCCG